rnacentral:ncRNA from 15 species
CUGUGCUGUGGAGAAUGUGGUUGCACCCUGCGUGCAUGAAAAGAGAAUGCGGUGAAAAACCGCAGCAGUCCCCGCUACUGUGAGAGGGACGAACCUCCGUGUUGAUGUAAAUCAGGUCACUGUGCCGGCAUGCCGGUGCGGGAAGGCUAUGCGGACAAGUAGGAUGAACUCAAGCCAGGAGAACUGCCACAUUCUAUCCCAAUUAG